AACGGAGAUGAUCGGCAGCUAUUUCAAAUCAACGAUUAUGGUUACGGUUGCGGCGGACGUUG
rnacentral:tRNA from 1 species